GCACAUCAUGCAUGUCAAGCAACUGAAGAUCAGCAGUUAACACUGGGCAGUCCUUUUCAUUUUAAAGUGGUUACACAACUGUUAUAUGUUUAGGAUCAUUUAAGAUCGUGCAGUUAGAGGUGUCAAUAAUGGCAAUGACAAGAAAGACUGAUGGAUGUGGUGCACAGUCUGAGUGUAUGAAGAACUCAGCAGGAGGGAAACCUGCAGAGUGAGCACCAAACUGACAACUAUAACUGCUCUCAGUUUGAGCCGUGAAAACAGUUUAGCAGGCUGCUAGCUAAAGUGACGGGAGAGAAACCCACUGGAAUCAGUGACACAGCAAGCCCUUACCAGUUUAAAGUCAAUCAUCUGCAGCAGAAAAAAGUGAAGACAAUGACAUUACACUGAAGCAGGCGUAGGUUCCAGCUUCCUGACAUCAUCAACAAUCCUUUUAAAUACAGUUUUUAUAUUCUGUUCUUCUGAAGUAACAUUUCUGCUUCCCUCCCAGUUCAUGUCUGUCUGACCUGGACGAUUACAAAACAGUGACACGUGUCCCCCGAGGACUUUUUAUCAAACACAGACA